GAAGUACUGGAAGAACAGAGCCGGUUCCCUCUGCAGCAGAAGUUGUGCCCAGCUGCAGUGAUGCACCUCCUCUACCAACAUAAAAAAAAGUCAGGGCAGUUAAUCCCAUGUAUCCCGGUGGGCCUACAGUGAGAGUGGAGGAGACAAGAUGGCCAUGACUGUCACAGCAAGAAGAGCUCAUGACAUCUGGCUGUGAGCUGGAACCUGUCACCUUGAUCCGCCACAGACUCUGGACUGCCACAAAAUGCACAAAAGAACUGCUCGUACACUAAAUGAAUUUGGCAUUUUGAAAAACAGUCCCGAUCUGAUGGUAGACACCAUAUUUGCAGUGCCAGCCUUUCAUGCCUAUGCUCAUGAUGCUGACUACCAGGCCACUGAUGGUACCAGGUAUGUGACUGGUAGUGGGCUUGCUGGCUGAGAACAGAUGGAGAGAUUAUGGUCCUACCUUUGAAAAUGUGGGUAGAUCACAAAAGAGAUGACACCGUCUCAUGGUGUUGACACCCUCACUGAUGCCCUCCUCUACUACGCAGCCAGGGUCAGCGAGAAGCAAGCACCGACAAUAGAACUCUGUCGGCAGAAGGUCCUGAAGGAGGAAACCAAGGCAAAAGAGGAGUUAAUGGUGCUGCUAAACAGCAUUCCAGGUUAGAUUCCAUGUGUUUUACUCAUAAUUUUUGUUUAUAUGUAAUGAUUAUUUUCAAGAGAGCUUGAUAAUGUGAAAGAAUCCUUUUCAUAGCAUCACUUUCAUAUACUUUACAUUAAGACAAAUCCUUCUACGUUGAGUAUUAGAAAGCAGUUUCCAUAACCUGAUAAUGACUUGAUAUAUGAGUGCAUUCACAACAAGCCACCUGCAGACAACUUACAAAAUGCAACAUUGCAUUUGAAGGUUAGUUUUUCUGAUGAAAAUAGUUAUUUGAUGCAUGGCCUACAAUUUCUAACUGGGAAAUCCCUUUUCCAAAAUUGUAAAAUCCCUUUUCCAAAAUUGAUUUAGGUACAUUUUUGUGAAGGGGUAUGAGGGUUGUGAUAUGGGUCAUUUAAUAGUAAAAUCAUUUAAGGGAUCAAUACAGUUCUAAAUUGCUUCCCCAGUAUCUGCAUGAACCAUCAGGCCAAGUGUUUUUGGUUGACCCUGCUGGACAGAAAGAGAAGGAGGAAUCGGAACACACUGCAUUCAAAUUCAGGUCUUAGUUAUUCCAUUGUGUUGGAUCUAAUACAUAUUAGCAUUUUACAUUCAUAAGUGUAAUACUUUUUUAUGACAUACUGUGAAAAACUCUCUUGGCUGCUGGCUCUGUCACUUUCAGACAUGCAGAGCAGACUUGAACCACAGGGGUUCUCUGUAAAGAGAGAGUAAUCCAAAAGGCACAGACACACCCCUUGACUUUCAAUUGGCACCGUUGACCUGUAUGUAUUCUCUCCUGAUUGGCUCUGUGGUGCAAAGUCUGGCAGUCUGACUAAAGUGCCAGAGGUAUGAGGAGAGACAUCCUCCUUUGUAUUUAUGGGAACAAAUAUUUCCUAACACUUUGGAUCCUAUUCUUGGACAGUUAGAAGACACAAUGCAUCAAUGCAAAACGUUUUUUUAUCACUAAUUACUGUCCAUGAGUAACCUCAACCUUGUGGGUCUAUAGGUGUUUGGGCCAAUAAAGUGCCAACUCAAUUCUACCACUGACUAGUCUCUCAUGCCCCUAUGAACGGGGACACAAGGCAAUAGUUUUAAUUUAAACCAGCCCUUUUUACUGGAGUAAAUUAACCCCUAAUUGGGGCUAUUUUCUUGACACAUAGUAGCAGUUUACAAGAUAAGAAGUCAAGAAGAUCAAAAAGUAGAUUGUUGUAAGGGUGUAUUACGUCCUGUGCUGGCCCCAUUGUCAUAUCCAUUCUGGAUUCUGAGUGGUAAAAUCAUAGCUGAAAAAUGCCUCUAUGUAUGUGUAUACAUUUUCCCCCAAGACAGAACUGCCAAAGGGGGUGGAGUUGCAAUCUACUACAGAGACAGCCUGCAGAGUUCUGUCAUGCUAUCCAGGUCUGUGCCCAAACAGUUCGAGCUUCUACUUUUGAAAAUCCACCUUUCCAGAAAUAAGUCUCUUACUGUUGCCGCUUGUUACAGACCCCCCUCAGCCCCCAGCUGCGCCCCGGACACCAUAUGUGAAUUAAUUGCCCCCCAUUUAUCUUCAGAGUUUGUACUGUUAGGUGACCUAAACUGGGAUAUGCUUAACACCCUGGCCGUCCUACAAUCUAAACUAGAUGCCCUCAAUCUCACCCAAAUUAUCAUGGAACCUACCAGGUACAACCCCAAAUCCGUAAACUCGGGCACCCUCAUAGAUAUCAUCCUGACCAACCUGUCCUCUAAAUACACCUCAGCUGUCUUCAACCAGGAUCUCAGCGAUCACUGCCUCAUUGCCUGCGUCCGUAAUGGGUCCGCGGUCAAACGACCACCCCUCAUCGCUGUCAAACGCUCCCUAAAACAUUUCAGCGAACAGGCCUUUCUAAUCAACCUGGCCCGGGUAUCCUGGAAGGAUAUUGACCUCAUCCCGUCAGUAGAGGAUGCCUGGUUAUUCUUUAAAAGUGCUUUCCUCACCAUCUUAAAUAUCAAAUCAAAUUUUCUUUGUCACAUACACAUGGUUAGCAGAUGUUAAUGCGAGUGUAGCAAAAUGCUUGUGCUUCUAGUUCCGACCAUGCAGUAAUAUCUAACAAGUAAUCUAACCUAACAAUUUCACAACAACUAACGUAUACCCUCAAGUGAGGGUAUACGCGUCACUUGAGUGGGUUGAGUCACUGACGUGGUCUUCCUGUCUGGGUUGGCGCCCCCCCUUGGGUUGUGCCAUGGCGGAGAUCGUUGUGGGCUAUACUCGGCCUUGUCUUAGGAUGGUAAGUUGGUGGUUGGAGACAUCCCUCUAGUGAUGUGGGGGCUGUGCUUUGGCAAAGUGGGUGGGGUUAUAUCCUGCCUGUUUGGCCCUGUCCGGGGGUAUCAUCGGAAGGUUGCCACAGUGUCUUCUGAUCCCUCCUGUCUCAGCCUCCAGUAUUUAUGCUGCAGUAGUUUAUGUGUCGGGGGGCUAGGGUCAGUCUGUUACAUCUGGAGUAUUUCUCUUGUCUUAUCCGGUGUCCUGUGUGAAUUUAAAUAUGCU
rnacentral:lncRNA from 1 species